rnacentral:rRNA from 1 species
GUGGGGAAUCUUGCGCAAUGGGCGAAAGCCUGACGCAGCCAUGCCGCGUGGAUGAUGAAGGUCUUAGGAUUGUAAAAUCCUUUCACCGGUGAAGAUAAUGACUGUAGCCGGAGAAGAAGCCCCGGCUAACUUCGUGCCAGCAGCCGCGGUAAUACGAAGGGGGCUAGCGUUGCUCGGAUUUACUGGGCGUAAAGGGCGCGUAGGCGGACAUUUAAGUCAGGGGUGAAAUCCCAGAGCUCAACUCUGGAACUGCCCUUGAUACUGGCGAUCUUGAGUGUGAGAGAGGUAUGUGGAACUCCGAGUGUAGAGGUGAAAUUCGUAGAUAUUCGGAAGAACACCAGUGGCGAAGGCGACACACUGGCUCAUUACUGACGCUGAGGCGCGAAAGCGUGGGGAGCAAACAGGAUUAGAAACCCGUGUAGUCC